GAUGAACGCUGGCGGCGUGCCUAAUACAUGCAAGUCGAGCGAACAGACCAGGAGCUUGCUCCUUCGACGUUAGCGGCGGACGGGUGAGUAACACGUAGGUAACCUACCUAUAAGACUGGGAUAACUUCGGGAAACCGGAGCUAAUACCGGAUAAUAUUUCGAACCGCAUGGUUCGAUAGUGAAAGAUGGCUUUGCUAUCACUUAUAGAUGGACCUGCGCCGUAUUAGCUAGUUGGUAAGGUAACGGCUUACCAAGGCAACGAUACGUAGCCGACCUGAGAGGGUGAUCGGCCACACUGGAACUGAGACACGGUCCAGACGCCUACGGGAGGCAGCAGUAGGGAAUCUUACGCAAUGGGCGAAAGCCUGACGGAGCAACGCCGCGUGAGUGAUGAAGGUCUUCGGAUCGUAAAACUCUGUUAUUAGGGAAGAACAAACGUGUAAGUAACUGUGCACGUCUUGACGGUACCUAAUCAGAAAGCCACGGCUAACUACGUG
rnacentral:rRNA from 1 species